rnacentral:tRNA from 1 species
GGUCCAUUAACUCAGUUGGUUCAGAGUGUCACGUCGACAACGUGGAAGUCACUGGUUCGAAUCCAGUAUGGAUCA